AAGUCGUAACAAGGUCUCCGUUGGUGAACCAGCGGAGGGAUCAUUACUGAGUGUUACCGCUCCCAAACCCUAUGUGAACCUUACCCCGUUUCCUCGGCGGCCCCGCGCCGCCGGGGGCACCAAACUCCUGCUUCCCUCGUGGUAUUCUCUCUGAGUGGCACAAGCAAAAUAAAUCAAAACUUUCAACAACGGAUCUCUUGGUUCUG
rnacentral:misc_RNA from 1 species